UUCCACCCAAUACACUCAUAAACCACAAUGGACCUACAUUCCUGGCCUCCAGUCAGUUUCCGGAUCUUUCUUUGCCCAGAGCCAAGAUACUGAAACAGGGAUUUAUUAAAAUUAACAUAUCUGCAAUUCCGGUCCUUGGCUGGAAAGCAUUUAAUGUAUGGACUUGGUUCUGAGAUCUUUUCCCAGGUGAAAACCCCUACCGUUGGGGCUGAAAUCUUUGGCACUUUCUGCCCAAGAUGCCCGCAUCGGGAUUCAAGUAAGCCCGCAUAGGCACUCUCAACCCUCCUCAUCUCAGCGACACACUCGCGAGGCCAGCGCCAGAACCCUCGAGGCGCUGAAACUGGCAAAAGCGUCGUCUAGAGGUGAACGGCGUGCACAACACAGCCCUUUCGAAUGAAAUGUCAUUGGGUGUCCCUUUGUCACCCCUGGGUGGCUGAGAUCAAACUCCGCAAAGUUGUUGUCUGAGGAAUAAAUUUUGUUCGUUGUUGUAAAAAUUAAAUGAGGAAUGCUCUGAGAUACGGAAAAGAGUUUAUUUUCCUGGUGGUUGGCAAGUGGGGGUGUGUGUGUGUGAAAUCCAAUUGGGCCCCGUAUAUGGUUUGCUGGAACGCAACACGGGCGUGAAAUGAGAAGGCAAGACGCCUGCCCGAAGCUGCUGCUUCCUUUGUCCUCCAGCCAGGGCUGUGGGGGGACCCGGGUAGCGCGGACCUGAGGUGGCGGGGUGGGGUGGCCGCGGCGCCCCUGAGGCGAAAGCGGAGGCGCCCGACGCCAGGACGCCGCUCCGAGCCUCUCAAGAUAUUCUCAAGGAGCUGGAGAUGGUGAAUCUGAAUAUCUCAUCUUUGGGGACCAGAACAACUGAUAAAGAGUUCUGCAGAAUUUGUGAAAACUGGAUGAGGGUCCUUUCUAGAGACACCUCCAGAGAGAAAAGGCACGUGAAAAUAGAGAAGGA
rnacentral:lncRNA from 1 species